rnacentral:rRNA from 1 species
UGGGGAAUAUUGCGCAAUGGGCGAAAGCCUGACGCAGCGACGCCGCGUGAGGGAUGAAGGUUUUCGGAUCGUAAACCUCUGUCGGAAGGGAAGAAGGCGCACCGUGCCAAUCAGCGGUGUGUUGACGGUACCUUCAAAGGAAGCGCCGGCUAACUCCGUGCCAGCAGCCGCGGUAAUACGGAGGGCGCAAGCGUUAAUCGGAAUUACUGGGCGUAAAGCGCGCGUAGGCUGUUUCGUAAGUCAGGGGUGAAAUCCCACGGCUCAACCGUGGAACUGCCCUUGAUACUGCGGGACUUGAAUCCGGGAGAGGGUGGCGGAAUUCCAGGUGUAGGAGUGAAAUCCGUAGAUAUCUGGAGGAACACCAGUGGCGAAGGCGGCCACCUGGCCCGGUAUUGACGCUGAGGUGCGAAAGCGUGGGAGCAAACAGGAUUAGAUACC